UCUAAUAUGGCAGAACCAGUGCAGUAGAUUUAAGAUUUACAUAUAAAGAAAUUACUUCAAAAAUCUUUUAUUAGAA
rnacentral:tRNA from 1 species